GCGAACGGGUGAGUAACGCGUGAGGAACCUGCCUCAAAGAGGGGGACAACAGUUGGAAACGACUGCUAAUACCGCAUAAGCCCACGGGUCGGCAUCGACCAGAGGGAAAAGGAGCAAUCCGCUUUGAGAUGGCCUCGCGUCCGAUUAGCUAGUUGGUGAGGUAACGGCCCACCGAGGCUACGAUCGGUAGCUGGACUGAGAGGUUGAACGGCCACAUUGGGACUGAGACACGGCCCAGACUCCUACGGGAGGCAGCAGUGGGGAAUAUUGCACAAUGGGGGAAACCCUGAUGCAGCGACGCCGCGUGGAGGAAGAAGGUCUUCGGAUUGUAAACUCCUGUUGUUGAGGAAGAUAAUGACGGUACUCAACAAGGAAGUGACGGCUAACUACGUGCCAGCAGCCGCGGUAAAACGUAGGUCACAAGCGUUGUCCGGAAUUACUGGGUGUAAAGGGAGCGCAGGCGGGAAGACAAGUUGGAAGUGAAAUCCAUGGGCUCAACCCAUGAACUGCUUUCAAAACUGUUUUUCUUGAGUAGUGCAGAGGUAGGCGGAAUUCCCGGUGUAGCGGUGGAAUGCGUAGAUAUCGGGAGGAACACCAGUGGCGAAGGCGGCCUACUGGGCACCAACUGACGCUGAGGCUCGAAAGUGUGGGUAGCAAACAGGAUUAGAUACCCUGGUAGUCCACACCGUAAACGAUGAUUACUAGGUGUUGGAGGAUUGACCCCUUCAGUGCCGCAGUUAACACAAUAAGUAAUCCACCUGGGGAGUA
rnacentral:rRNA from 1 species